rnacentral:lncRNA from 1 species
AUUGCUUUUAUAGAUUCAAUUUCCACACUAAAGACAAUUAAAGAAGUUUUGAAUCAUCCUAUCUUGCAUAAUGUGAUGUUUGAGGAGAUAAAUGCUCUGAUGAAAUUAUAUUUGGGAUUGGUGGAUUUAUCAAAGAAAAAAAAAUUGUGGGAUGCAAAUGGGUCUUUUAGUCAAAGUAACCUAGAUGUCUCAGUAGCAAGACUUAAAGCUAGACUUAUAGCAAAUGGCUA